AUUUUUUUUCGGCCUGAUCCCUGCACGGCUUUGCUGUCUUCUUCCUUUGACCCCGCGUUCGAAGGUUUUUUUCUCACGACAGGGGGCGUAUAUAGAUUUCAGAGCUUCAUCCCUAUAGGGGCAUCAGCCGGUGAUUCGAGUGAAUGCCUCAUCCGUUUUUUAUGCGCUUUUCGUCUUUGGUUCAUCCUCUUUUGCAUUCGCUUCCUUUUCAGUGUUCCCACGCUUUUCUCUUCGUUUAGUCCCUCCAUGAGACGGUCGUGUUUCUCUGCCACGCGGGCCCCCACACGCGCAGGGAGGCGAUUUCAGGAAGCACCCUCGGCGCACAAGUUUGCAACCGAGAGAAACCGAAGAAGAAUCUCUCGUGUUACGGGAAACGGUCAGAAGGAAACAACAGGGCGAAAAUGCGGCGAGAGACCUGGCCUACUUUGCUGGGAAUGCUAUUUCGUUCUCACCAGCCCGGGCGGCACCGCGUCGCUGUCUUGCCAGACAAUCGCAUCGACAUCGCGUCUCGCGCCUCGACUCGCUCUCCCUCACCGCAUUUCAAAGACUAUCGGAAUCCAGGUUUUGAUGUGCUCCUGGUAAGCCACUUCCUGGCGCUGGUCGUCGACGUCGACUUCCGCCAGUAGACCAGUGAUCUCUUCCACUGAGAGCCGACAGCUCGCCACGACGUCGGCGUAUCGGCGCUCCGCCGCCGCCGCGGCAGACCC
rnacentral:lncRNA from 1 species